ACUCCUACGGGAGGCAGCAGUGGGGAAUAUUGCACAAUGGGCGCAAGCCUGAUGCAGCCAUGCCGCGUGUAUGAAGAAGGCCUUCGGGUUGUAAAGUACUUUCAGCGGGGAGGAAGGCGAUAAGGUUAAUAACCUUGUCGAUUGACGUUACCCGCAGAAGAAGCACCGGCUAACUCCGUGCCAGCAGCCGCGGUAAUACA
rnacentral:rRNA from 1 species